AUGCUAGUAGAUCAUGAAAAGAAUGCUUUAGGUGCUGGUUAUAUUAUUGAAUUCAUUCAUGAUGCUACUGAAAAUUAUUAUGAGGGAGGAAUAUAUACUUGUAGGAAUUGCAAUAAUAUCAAGUUUCCUCUCUAUGUGCUUAAAGUUUUGAAGUUAUGCUUGUUUUACCCUCCUACGCUAGUUGAUUAUUGUUCCCACAAGUUGUUUGCUCACAAAAUCCCUAUGCAUAGGAAGUGGGUUAGACUUAAAUGUGCUAGUCAUAUUCUUCAUGAUGCUCUCUUUAUGUUUCAAUUCUCAUCCUUUAUGUGA
rnacentral:rRNA from 1 species